CGCGCGGAGCUGGCUGGCUGGCGCGGUCGGCGGCGGCGGCGGAGGGGCAGCUGUGGGGUGUGCGGUUCCUUGUCCGCUGGCAGCCGGGGGGCGACGACGCGGGACGUCAUGGAAGUGAAGGAUGCCAAUUCUGCGCUUCUCAGUAACUAUGAGGUGUUUAAGUUACUAAC